GUACACUCCUACGGGAGGCAGCAGUGGGGAAUAUUGGACAAUGGGCGCAAGCCUGAUCCAGCCAUGCCGCGUGAGUGAUGAAGGCCCUAGGGUUGUAAAGCUCUUUCACCGGUGAAGAUAAUGACGGUAACCGGAGAAGAAGCCCCGGCUAACUUCGUACCAGCAGCCGCGGUAAUACGAAGGGGGCUAGCGUUGUUCGGAUUUACUGGGCGUAAAGCGCACGUAGGCGGACUAUUAAGUCAGGGGUGAAAUCCCGGGGCUCAACCCCGGAACUGCCUUUGAUACUGGUAGUCUUGAGUUCGAGAGAGGUGAGUGGAAUUCCGAGUGUAGAGGUGAAAUUCGUAGAUAUUCGGAGGAACACCAGUGGCGAAGGCGGCUCACUGGCUCGAUACUGACGCUGAGGUGCGAAAGCGUGGGGAGCAAACAGGAUUAGAUACCCGUGUAGUCCCAUGA
rnacentral:rRNA from 1 species